UGGUCCCCUUCUCCCUACUUCCUCCCCAAGUAUCCUCACCUUCUGUAUAUCUUUUCUGGCUCUAUCCUGUCAUAUUGCCACAAUCCCCACCAAUGGUUAGCUCUGCUUCCCCUAUUGGAACUCUCUGGUCUUUUGACUUCUCCCCUCAGGUACCAACCCUUGAACCAGAUAAAUGAAUCCUUGCUGAUGCACUCUGGGUAGAAGACAGGAAAGCCGGCUUCCAGGUAGCCUGAGACCUUUCAACCUGAGGCCAGCCAGACCUUUGUUAUCUAAAUAGGGCCCAAUUAGCAGCUGAGUUGGUAGCCUGGCCAGAGUAAUCAGACAAAUGGGAAAAUGAGUAACUGAUGCAGAAAGACGAAAGGGAUUAACGGGGUAGCGCUAAGGGCUGAGGAAAGAGAAAGAACUUGAGGGAAGCCCCCAAACCCGUAGGCAUUAAGGGGAGAAGGAUUGGCCAAGGGACGUGAAUAAAUGUAAUGGAGGCCAAUGAAAAGCGGAGAAAGAAGGAGCCUUGGGACUAAUUUCAUUUCCAUGCUCUCUAUGGAGCACAAAGUGAAAUAAGGAACUGCCGUCAAUGUGCUUGGUACGGAGAGUCAAUCUGGGUCCCAAGAGCCCCGGCGACGCGAGGUUUCUCUGGUGGCAGUGGGUGAGGGCCAUGCGCACUCGAUAAUUAGCAAAUGAUACUUCUCUGUGUCGUGCCAAUGCAGGCAGUGCACACAAAAAGGCAUUUGGACCCCUUUUCGACUGGCUGUAACAGCAGCACCAACAAAGCAUGCUAGGAACGGUCCGAUCCUUCCUGGCUGGCCAGUAGAUUAGAUGUGGUACCAGAGGAAUUUUUUCCAUCUCUGAUCUCUCUCUUUAUCUGCAAGCCAGAAAUGUGUCAAAUAAUCUCCUUUUCCCAGAUGCCCGGAUUCCUCCGGCAGACAGAGGCUUAAAGGGAAGUUUCUAGCUGCCGGGAGCCUCUAACCCCAGACCUGUCAGGCUGUGUCCUUUAGGUGGAUGUAAUGAGAGAUUCUUGGAAUGACUAGGAACCACCAAUGCAAAGAAUUUCAGAAAUGGUAUACAACCUCCAGGAACUGAAGCAGAGUGAGAGGAGCAGAACCAGGAGAACAUUGUACACAGAGACAGAUACACUGUGGCACAAUCCAAUGUAAUGGACUUCUCUACUAGCAGUAGUGCAAUGAUCCAGGACAAUUCUGAGGGAGUCAUGAGAAAGAACACUUUCCAGAUCCAGAAAAAGACCUGUGGGAGUAGAAACACAGAAGAAAGACAUUUCCUUGAUCAUAUAGUUUGAUGGGGAUAGGAUUGGGGAUGUAGACUUUAAACAAUUACUCUAUUGCAAAUAUUAAUAAUAUGGAAAUAUGUCUUGAUCAAUGAUGCUUGUAAAACCCAGUUGAAUUGUGUGUUGGCUACAGGAGGGGGUAGAAGGGGAGGGAAAGAACAUGAAUCAUGUAGCCAUGGAAAAAUAUUCUAAAUUAAUUGAUUAAAGAAAAAAAGAAAUAGUAUCCAGGGAAAUCAGCCAUAUCUCUUGUCUCCCUAUGUAGAAUAGAUCAGGUACCCACUGAUCUUUAAGGAGUAUGGGGAAGAAGAAUCCUUCUGAUCUUGAUCAAGUCAUCUGAAAAGGUUUUGUACCCUUCUUUAUAUUCUUUCAAAUUCACUUAUAAUUGUUAUUGGGUUGAUAGGAUCAUAGAUUUUGAGCUAGAAAAGAACUUAGAUAUCACCUUCCUGGCCAUCUCCUUUCAUGAUCCCUGCCCUCCACUCUCACCUCAUACUCCCAUCCCUGGCACCCUGGGCUCUGAUUAGUAAGCAUUCUCCUUAGCUAGCCCAGACGAAGGCCCACCACACCAUUGCCCAGUCAUGUCCACGUCAGACUUUCCUUUAACUUCAGUUACCAUUCCCUAUGACUCAUCUGGAUAAAACCCUUCUCCCUGGUCACUACUAUUAGAACAAGUACUGUUCUUUGAGGACAAGGUCUGAGCUGCUAGCUUGUACUUGCAUCCUCAGUGCUUAACAUUUAAAUUUGUUUUAUUCCUUCCUUCACUCAUCUAUCCAUUCAUUCAUUCACACACCAUUCAUUCAGCUAGCCCAUAGCCUUCAUUUUACUGAAGAAGAAACAAAGGCCAGAAGAUAUUUCAGAGCAGAAUUGGAACCUAUGUCUCCUGACUCCAAACUCAAUGUUCUCAUAGUAGCUUUUUAUUAUUUUGUAUUUGCUCAAUCCAUACACAUUAACAGUAUUAUUGUCAUGUUAGGAUAAGCAAAACAUGUUGACA